rnacentral:lncRNA from 1 species
CCCAGCCCCCCCAUACUCUCCGCCUAUGCCCACUACAGGUAAAACUCGAUCUAACGCGAAUUAGCGAAACUGGCCACCAAACCCGAUUUAAUGAAGCUUUUCCUGAAUAGGAUGAGUAAAAAAGUGUUGAUUUUGCUUCAAUUCUGACACAGACAGGCUUUUCUUCGAGCAUGCACUCUAAUGCUAUUGCAGUAAAACAUCUAGCUGCCCUAGUCAUGACCAUAGUUUUAUUUUGAUGGGGCUGCAUGCAUGCCGCGCCCAUGCAUGGAACAACGAACUCGACAGUCUGGAGGGCUCU